AUGGGCUUUAUGUUCCUCGUGGCCUUGGCGAAUUCGCUCAUGGCCUCACUGGUAUCGAGAAGAACGACAAACAACGGUCGCACAAUGCUUUCAGCUCGCCGCAUAAAGAUGCAGUGCAAAUUUUAAACUUGUGAAACCGGGAUAAUAUGAGAACAGAGUUGGAAAAAAGCAGACGGAAAAAGAUGGUUUCUCGGUAUCGAUACGUCGAUGCUAAUUAGCUGCUCGUAACAUUAAAUAUGCAGGAAAGCAAAUGGACUCUGCAAUUGGAUUUCAUAUAGAAGAGAAUGACAGAUAUAAAGAAAGAUAGACUUCAAAGAUCUAUGUUCUAACGUACUCAAGCACAUAGAAUAUUACCUUUACGUCACAAUCUGAUAUUGAAGAGACAUUGAAGAAGUGGAUUUUCAAGGAU